AUAUCCAGGAACCUACUCUCAGCCGAAAGGACAUGACUUUUCCAUGCUUGCCAGUAGCCAGGAUGGCGUUGCACUGAGACAGCCACGCUUUUGAUCAGCCUUGUGACAAUUAGCAACAUAGAUUAGAUGAUUGAUUGGACAUCAACAGAAUAAUCUGUGAUUAUGAAAUAAAUUCUCUUUGGAAAGUAAGAAAGUCUUUCCUAAAUUCAAAUGAUCAUUCUUAUUUUAGCUCCUUCUUUUAAAAGUCUGAGACAACUGAACGAAACUCAGCUUUCAAAAAGCCAAGGACGUCUUUGAAAUUUCAUUCUACAUUCCUGGAUUACUGAUGCUGCCUCUCUAUCAGAGCUCUUUAUCCUUCCUUCCCUUUUUGCAGACUUCAAAUCAGCCUCAGUUUUCUUCAAUUAUCCUUUUGCCUCUCCUUGCCUAGAAGAAACUCCGAAAAUUUUUUGCAUAUUUGAUGGAUAAGAUGGAAAGGACGGUAGGUGAGGAAAUACAGCAGCUAAGAUGACAAGCCAGCUCUCCACUGACCACACAGGCACAUCUCUAGCAAGGGACAGGAAGACAGAAGAAUGAAUGCAACAGGACCGCUAAGAAGUAAAGACAGUCUUCAGCUAUGCAAGAAUAGCAGCUAGAAAUAGACAAACUGAAGAAGAGUUUAUGGAAGGAGGAGCUGUUUUGUCCAGAGAGCAGCCUGGUAGUUUUCCGUUUUCAAAUGCUUGGCUUUCAGGGCUCUGAUGUUUCCCUGCACAGUUGUGUCCAAUCAUGACAGAGACAAGGGAAACAGCCAAGGCUACAAUAUCAGCACAGUACAAGAGAAUCAGGCAUCCAGUGAGCGGAGAACCACAGGGAAAUAUCGGACCGUGCGCUAAUCCAUGAGCACCCCAUCAUCUUCUCUGAGCAUCAGAGCUCCCUUGGCUUCAGGUCUUGUUAGGUAACAAUCAAUUUCACUGUCUGCAUUGUGAUUUUGUGCCAGGGCCUUCUGUUUUCCCACAUAAGCCCACAUGUCUAGCUAUCCUUGGGCCAGCCAUGGAAUUCUCUGCCUUAAAGCUGCAUCAUCUGUAAAUGGGGGUCAAUUACAUCGCUGCUGCUGCUGCUGCUGCUGCUGCUGGAAAGUAAUCUUAUGAGGAAAAAAUGCAAUAAUGUAAAUAACUUCUAAAAGUAUAUAAUGUGCUGAAAGUAUAAGGUAUUAGCUUUGGUAGGCACCAUGAAGCUCUAAAAGGAGAAGAAGAGGUCACUGCCCUUAGAUAGUUUAGAAAUUAAUAGAAAACAUGGGUCAGAUGUUUGAAAAGGAGAAGCAAGACAAAUCAACACAGAGGGAAGGGUUCUGGACUCGGAGGGGUCAGCGCUGAGUUGUAACCAGGGAUCUACCCCUCCCUCAAUGCAUGAGUUGUACAAGUUCUUUCCUUACCCUGGGCCUCAGUUUCCCCAAAGGAACAUAAGGCAGUUGGGUAAUCUAUUAAGGCCACCUCUGGCUCUGGCUUUUUGUGAAGCUUAGAUAAAUUGAGCCCUAAUAUGGAUGCAAAUGUUAACCAGUGAUCUGAGCUCCAGAAGGAGAUGAAAUAGAGCAAGAUUUUAGAAGAGGGGAAGGAAAUAUUGGCAGGAUAUUCUAAAUGUAGAAAUCAACCUUGCUAAGUCCCCAGUUUGGAGUGAGCAAGUCCCAAUCAAGCAUGUUCCAAGAGGAACCUAGGGAAACAUAGAAAGGCAAAGGGUGAGGAGGCAGGGAAGGUGACUUUUGUUCAGAGCCCUUGUCCAAGUUGAGAGAAGAUGGGGAAGAAGGAGUGGAUAUUGUCAUCGGGCUGGGUGAGAUCUUCAUAUCACAUUCAGGGGAGACUGACUGCUGCCCCCACAUCCUCCCAUCUGCAUCAAGCAGACCGUAGCUUUCAGGGCCCCUUCUCCAUGGUGGGGGUGGUUGGCAAGGUACUCUGUCACUGCACACUGCCGUUGCUCUUGUCCUUCCAGGAAAUUAAAUUUGAAGUUGCUCAGCUCUGCCAGUGCUUGAUCCCUUCCAGACACUUUCCACUCCCGCUGCAGAAAGCUUGAGGAUGGCUGGGAAAGGUGGGAGAGGAGGGAAUGCCAUGGGUGGGACUGUCAUGGAGAGAUGGAUCCCAGCAACUCUGCAUUGGUGAUUCUUUGCACGGAAGCCUAGUAUGUGGACCUCUAGUCUGUGGAGAAGGGCAGACAGAAGGCCCCUUCUAUUUUCUCAUCGAGAUGGCAGAGGCUGUGAUGAGACUGUCAUUGGGAAUAUUGAUUACAUGGCUACUGCUCCAAGGACAGGGCUGGGAACUCUGAUACAACUGACAGCCAAGCCAUUCAUGGCUCAGGUGGAAGUGGUCAGGAGAACAGCUCACCUGGACAUUUCCAAUUUGCAAAGGGACCAAGGAAAUUGUGUUCUGGCUGGGUGCAGUGGCUCCCACCUGUAAUCCCAGCACUUUGGGAGGCUGAGGUGGGUGGAUCACUUAAGGUCAGUAGUUCGAGACCAGCCUGGCCAGCAUGGUGAAAUUCUGUCUCUACUAAAAAUACAAAAAUUAGCCAGGCAUCAUGGUGCAUGCCUGUAAUCCCAGCUACUCAGGUGGCUGAGACAGGAGAAUUGCUGAACCCAGGAGAUGGAGGUUGCAGUGAGCCGAAAUCAGCCCUCUGCAUUCCAGCCUGGACAACAGAGCGAGACUGUCAAAAAAAAAAAAAAAAGAAAGAAAGAAAGAGAGAGAGAAAGAAAGAAAGACAGAGAAAGAGAGAGGGAGGGAGGGAGGAAGGGAAGGGAAGGGAAGGGAAGGGAAGGGAAGGGAAGGGAAGGGAAGGGAAGGGAAGGGAAGGGAAGGGAAGGGAUUGUGUUUUUAGUAUGCACUGGGUUUACCAAAGGUGUAUCUUAUGUUGUAUUCAAAAUCGCCAUUCAUUCAUUCAGUAUAUUUUCAGUCACUGGGAAAAGGAAUUCCAAAGCACUGAUGUACUGCAUGUCCUCUCUGCAGCUGAGAUGACUGAGGCUUGCCCAGGAUCAGACAGAUGGUAAUUAGGAGAACCAUGGGUCUAGACCAGCAUGGAAGGUUCACGGCUUUUUGAAGGAGAUAGGGGCCUGGGUGGGUGCAGGGCCACAUGCAGCUGCUGAGCCAAAUGCAGCUGUUUGAAAAUUAAGACAAAAAAAUAAAAAAUUUAAAAAUGGG